UACGUAUGGGGCGAGCGUUGUUCGGAAUUAUUGGGCGUAAAGGGCGUCUAGGUGGGGGAUUAAGUUAGAUGUGAAAUCCCUGGGCUCAACCCAGGAAUUGCAUCUAAAACUGGCAAGCUGGAGGAUGGGAGGGGGUAGCGGAAUUCCCGGUGUAGAGGUGAAAUUCGUAGAUAUCGGGAGGAACACCAGAGGCGAAGGCGGCUACCUGGACCAUACCUGACGCUGAGGAGCGAAAGCGUGGGGAGCAAACAGG
rnacentral:rRNA from 1 species